AUUCGUCCAAGUGAAAUAGAGGACAGUGGCGGACGGGUGAGUAACGCGUGAGGAACCUGCCUUACAGAGGGGGACAACAGUUGGAAACGACUGCUAAUACCGCAUGAUGUGGAGGGGAGACAUCUCCCUUUCACCAAAGGAGCAAUCCGCUGUAAGAUGGCCUCGCGUCUGAUUAGAUAGUUGGUGGGGUAACGGCCUACCAAGUCGACGAUCAGUAGCCGGACUGAGAGGUUGAACGGCCACAUUGGGACUGAGACACGGCCCAGACUCC
rnacentral:rRNA from 1 species